CUUCCAAAGUUUGCAAAUUUUGUAUACUUUUGUAUUGCAAUUUUCGCAUGCAAUACAAAAGUAUACAAAAUUUGCAAAUUUUGCAAGGCUAU
rnacentral:miRNA from 1 species